rnacentral:rRNA from 1 species
UACGGGGGGAGCAAGCGUUGUUCGGAUUUACUGGGCGUAAAGGGCGCGUAGGCGGCCACCGCAAGUCGACUGUGAAAUCCCCGGGCUUAACCUGGGAAUGGCAUUUGGGACUGCAAGGCUGGAGUACGGCAGAGGAGACUGGAAUUCCUGGUGUAGCAGUGAAAUGCGUAGAGAUCAGGAGGAAUACCGAUGGCGAAGGCAGGUCUCUGGGCUGAUACUGACGCUCAUGCACGAAAGCGUGGGGAGCAAACAGG